rnacentral:rRNA from 1 species
CAGCCGCCGCGGGAAUACGAAGGGGGCUAGCGUUGCUCGGAACGACUGGGCGUAAAGGGCGCGUAGGCGGUUCACACAGUCAGGCGUGAAAUUCCUGGGCUUAACCUGGGGGCUGCGUUUGAUACGUGUGGGCUAGAGUGAGGAAGAGGGUCGUGGAAUUCCCAGUGUAGAGGUGAAAUUCGUAGAUAUUGUGAAGAACACCGGUGGCGAAGGCGGCGACCUGGUCCUUUACUGACGCUGAGGCGCGAAAGCGUGGGGAGCAAACAGGAUUAGAGACCCCCGUAGUCCCUGUCUCUUAUAC